rnacentral:rRNA from 1 species
GACGAACGCUGGCGGCGUGCCUAAUACAUGCAAGUCGAGCGGACAGAAGGGAGCUUGCUCCCGGAAGUUAGCGGCGGACGGGUGAGUAACACGUGGGCAACCUACCCUGUAGAUCGGGAUAACAUCGAGAAAUCGGUGCUAAUACCGGAUAUUCAUUUGAAGUGCAUGCUUCGAAUGUAAAAGAUGGCUCCGGCUAUCACUACGGGAUGGGCCCGCGGCGCAUUAGCUAGUUGGUAAGGUAAUGGCUUACCAAGGCAACGAUGCGUAGCCGAGCUGGGCGGGUGAUCAGCCACACUGGGAAUGAGACACGGCCCAGACUCCUACGGGAGGCAGCAGUAGGGAAUCUUCCGCAAUGGACGAAAGUCUGACGGAGCAACGCCGCGUGAGUGAUGAAGGUUUUCGGAUCGUAAAGCUCUGUUGUUAGGGAAGAACAAGUGCCGUUUGAAUAAGGCGGCGCCUUGACGGUACCUAACCAGAAAGCCACGGCUAACUACGUGCCAGCCGCCGCCGUAACAC